UUUGGGCUUUUCAUUCAUCAGGCUGCGGCGCGGCCGCCGAGGAGCGGAAACAAUCCUUGGGAGGUAUGCGGGGGCUUCGAGCCCCCCAUUUACGCACGCACGACUGCCAUCCUUACUUUACGAGCACCUUCUGUUCUCCCUCGGCGGGGCAACCUGCCGUUGGAACCGAAUAAACUCUUUUUGCAUCUAGCAUUACCUGUUCCGAAACAAACAAUCGUUACAACUUUCAACAAUGGAUCUCUUGGCUCUGGCAUCGAUGAAGAACGCAGCGAAAUGCGAUAAGUAGUGUGAAUUGCAGAAUUCAGUGAAUCAUCGAAUCUUUGAACGCACAUUGCGCCCCUCGGUAUUCCGUGGGGCAUGCCUGUUCGAGCGUCAUCUACACCCUCAAGCUCUGCUUGGUGUUGGGCGUCUGUCCCGCCUCCGCGCGUGGACUCGCCCCAAAUUCAUUGGCAGCGGUCCUUGCCUCCUCUCGCGCAGCACAUUGCGCUUCUCGAGGGGCUACGGCUCGCGUCCAACAAGCACAUUUACCGUCUUUGACCUCGGAUCAGGUAGGGAUACCCGCUGAACUUAAGCAUAUCAAUAAGCGGAGGAAUCUUUACCUUUCAAAUCAGGGUGCGGCGCGGCCGCCGAGGAGCGGAAACAAUCCUUGGGAGGUAUGCGGGGGCUUCGAGCCCCAUUUACGCACGCAGACUGCCAUCUUUAUUUUACAACCCCUUCUGCUCCCCCCGGCGGGGCACCUGGCGAAGAAAACAAAUAUCUCUUUUGUGCUUUUGCUUUACUGUUCAAAAAAAGAUCGUUACACUUUCACAAUGGAUCUCUUGGCUCUGCAUCAGAAAAACGCAGCGAAAUGCGAUAAGUAGUGUGAAAUUGCGAAAUCUGAAAUCAUCAAUCUUUGUACGCCAUUGCGCCUCGGUAUUCUGUGGGAUGCUGUUUGAGCGACAUCUACACUACGACCUCGCUUGGGGUGUGGCGCUCGUUCCCCCCCGCUGUAAUAUCCCCAAAUCUUUGGACAAUCUUGCUCCUCUCGUGCAGAAAUUCUGCUCUCUUC
rnacentral:rRNA from 1 species